GAUGAACGCUGGCGGCGUGCCUAAUACAUGCAAGUCGAGCGAACAGACGAGGAGCUUGCUCCUCUGACGUUAGCGGCGGACGGGUGAGUAACACGUGGAUAACCUACCUAUAAGACUGGGAUAACUUCGGGAAACCGGAGCUAAUACCGGAUAAUAUAUUGAACCGCAUGGUUCAAUAGUGAAAGACGGGUUUGCUGUCACUUAUAGAUGGAUCCACGCCGCAUUAGCUAGUUGGUAAGGUAACGGCUUACCAAGGCGACGAUGCGUAGCCGAUCUGAGAGGGUGAUCGGCCACACUGGAACUGAGACACGGUCCAGACUCCUACGGGAGGCAGCAGUAGGGAAUCUUCCGCAAUGGGCGAAAGCCUGACGGAGCAACGCCGCGUGAGUGAUGAAGGUCUUCGGAUCGUAAAACUCUGUUAUUAGGGAAGAACAAAUGUGUAAGUAACUAUGCACGUCUUGACGGUACCUAAUCAGAAAGCCACGGCUAACUACGUG
rnacentral:rRNA from 1 species